GUAGUCAUAUGCUUGUCUCAAAGAUUAAGCCAUGCAUGUCUAAGUAUAAGCAAUCUAUACAGUGAAACUGCGAGUGGCUCAUUAAAUCAGUUAUCGUUUACUUGAUAGUACCUUACUACUUGGAUAACCGUGGUAAUUCUAGAGCUAAUACAUGCUAAAAACCCCGACUUCGGAAGGGGUGUAUUUAUUAGAUAAAAAACCAAUGCUCUUCGGGGCUCCUUGGUGAUUCAUGAUAACUUAACGAAUCGCAUGGCCUUGUGCCGGCGAUGGUUCAUUCAAAUUUCUGCCCUAUCAACUUUCGAUGGUAGGAUAGUGGCCUACUAUGGUUUCAACGGGUAACGGGGAAA
rnacentral:rRNA from 1 species